rnacentral:rRNA from 1 species
GAUGAACGCUGGCGGCGUGCUUAACACAUGCAAGUCGAACGGGAAACCUUUUAAUGAAGCUUCGGCAGAUUUAGCUGGUUUCUAGUGGCGGACGGGUGAGUAACGCGUGGGUAACCUGCCUUAUACAGGGGGAUAACAGUCAGAAAUGACUGCUAAUACCGCAUAAGCGCACGGGACCGCAUGGUCCGGUGUGAAAAACUCCGGUGGUAUAAGAUGGACCCGCGUUGGAUUAGCUUGUUGGUGGGGUAACGGCUCACCAAGGCGACGAUCCAUAGCCGGCCUGAGAGGGUGAACGGCCACAUUGGGACUGAGACACGGCCCAGACUCCUACGGGAGGCAGCAGUGGGGAAUAUUGCACAAUGGGGGAAACCCUGAUGCAGCGACGCCGCGUGAAGGAAGAAGUAUCUCGGUAUGUAAACUUCUAUCAGCAGGGAAGAUAGUGACGGUACCUGACUAAGAAGCCCCGGCUAACUACGUG